rnacentral:rRNA from 1 species
UACGUAGGGCGCAAGCGUUGUCCGGAAUUAUUGGGCGUAAAGAGCUCGUAGGCGGUGUGUCGCGUCGGCCGUGAAAACCUGCAGCUUAACUGUGGGCUUGCGGUCGAUACGGGCAUCACUGGAGUUCGGCAGGGGAGACUGGAAUUCCUGGUGUAGCGGUGAAAUGCGCAGAUAUCAGGAGGAACACCGGUGGCGAAGGCGGGUCUCUGGGCCGAUACUGACGCUGAGGCACGAAAGCGUGGGGAGCAAACAGG